rnacentral:rRNA from 1 species
AGUGAACGCUGGCGGUAGGCCUAACACAUGCAAGUCGAACGGCAGCACAGUAAGAGCUUGCUCUUACGGGUGGCGAGUGGCGGACGGGUGAGGAAUACAUCGGAAUCUACUUUUUCGUGGGGGAUAACGUAGGGAAACUUACGCUAAUACCGCAUACGACCUACGGGUGAAGGCAGGGGAUCUUCGGACCUUGCGCGAUUGAAUGAGCCGAUGUCGGAUUAGCUAGUUGGCGGGGUAAAGGCCCACCAAGGCGACGAUCCGUAGCUGGUCUGAGAGGAUGAUCAGCCACACUGGAACUGAGACACGGUCCAGACUCCUACGGGAGGCAGCAGUGGGGAAUAUUGGACAAUGGGCGCAAGCCUGAUCCAGCCAUACCGCGUGGGUGAAGAAGGCCUUCGGGUUGUAAAGCCCUUUUGUUGGGAAAGAAAAGCGGCAGGUUAAUACCCCGCUGUUCUGACGGUACCCAAAGAAUAAGCACCGGCUAACUUCGUG